rnacentral:rRNA from 1 species
AGUGAACGCCGGCCGUAGGCCUAACACAUGCAAGUCGAACGGCAGCACAGUAAGAGCUUGCUCUUACGGGUGGCGAGUGGAGGACGGGUGAGGAAUACAUCGGAAUCUACUUUUUCGAGGGGGAUAACGUAGGGAAACUUACGCUAAUACCGCAUACGAACUACGGGUGAAAGCAGGGGAUCUUCGGACCUUGCGCGAUUGAAUGAGCCGAUGUCGGAUUAGCUAGUUGGCGGGGUAAAGGCCCACCAAGGCGACGAUCCGUAGCUGGUCUGAGAGGAUGAGCAGCCACACUGGAACUGAGACACGGUCCAGACUCCGACGGGAGGCAGCAGUGGGGAAUAUUGGACAAUGGGCGCAAGCCUGAUCCAGCCAUACCGCGUGGGUGAAGAAGGCCUUCGGGUUGUAAAGCCCUUUUGUUGGGAAAGAAAAGCAGCAGGUUAAUACCCCGCUGUUCUGACGGUACCCAAAGAAUAAGCACGGGCUAGCUUCGUG